GGUUGGCUGGAUGGCGGC
rnacentral:misc_RNA from 1 species